rnacentral:rRNA from 1 species
UACGUAGGGGGCAAGCGUUGUCCGGAUUCAUUGGGCGUAAAGAGCUUGUAGGCGGUUCGGCAAGCCGGGUGUGAAAACUCCAGGCUCAACCUGGAGACGCCACCCGAUACUGCUGUGACUUGAGUCCGGUAGGGGACCACGGAAUUCCUGGUGUAGCGGUGAAAUGCGCAGAUAUCAGGAAGAACACCCGUGGCGAAGGCGGCUCUCUGGGACGGUACUGACGCUGAGACGCGAAAGCGUGGGGAGCGAACAGG